AGAGUUUGAUCAUGGCUCAGGAUGAACGCUGGCGGCGUGCUUAACACAUGCAAGUCGAACGGAGCGCUCGUGACGGAGUUUUUGGACAACGGAUCGAGCUGCUUAGUGGCGGACGGGUGAGUAACGCGUGAGCAAUCUGCCUUGGAGUGGAGAAUAACACAGGGAAACUUGUGCUAAUACCGCAUGAUGCAGCUGCACCGCAUGGUGGUGGUUGCCAAAGAUCUAUCGCUCUGAGAUGAGCUCGCGUCUGAUUAGCUAGUUGGCGGGGUAACGGCCCACCAAGGCGACGAUCAGUAGCCGG
rnacentral:rRNA from 1 species